rnacentral:rRNA from 1 species
AAAGAAAAUAACAAUGAUUCCCUUAGUAACGGCGAGUGAAGGGGGAUAAGCUCAAAUUUUAAAUCUGCUAGGUCUUACCUAUCAGAGUUGUAAUUUGAAGAAGCGUUUUCCGCGUCUCGGUUGACCCAAAUCCUUUGGGAUAUGGUAUCAUGGAGGGUGAGAAUCCCGUUCGGUUGACCUUGUGACGCUUUACGAUACGUUUUCUAAGAGUCGAGUUGUUUGGGAUUGCAGCUCAAAAUGGGAGGUAAAUUUCUCCUAAGGCUAAAUAUUGGCGAGAGACCGAUAGCGAACAAGUACCGUGAGGGAAAGAUGAAAAGAACUUUGAAAAGAGAGUAAAAUAGUACGUGAAAUUGUUGAAAGGGAAACGAUUGAAG